rnacentral:rRNA from 1 species
GACGAACGCUGGCGGCGUGCUUAACACAUGCAAGUCGAACGGAAAGGCCCGGCUUUUUUGUUGUGCUCGAGUGGCGAACGGGUGGGUAAGAAGUGAGUAACCUGCCCUUGACUUUGGGAUAACUUCAGGAAACUGGGGCUAAUUCCGGAUAGAUGCGCCUUCUUCAUGGUGUGGGGUGUAGAUUUUCGGCGGUUGGUGCUGGUCGGGGGGCUUAGCAGCUGGGGGGUGGGGAAGUGGAGUCCGAAGGCUGGGACGGGUAGCCGGCCUGAGAGGGUGACUGGCCCCAUUGGGACUGGGGUACGGGCAGGGGUGAUGCGGGCGGAAGCAGCGGGAAACAUUGCACAAUGGGCGGAAGCAGUAUGGACCACCGUCGCGUGGGGGAUGACGGCUUUCCGGUUGUAAACCGCUUUUGCCUGUGACGAAGAGUGAGUGACGGUAAUGGGUAAAGAAGCAACGGCUAACUACGUG